rnacentral:rRNA from 1 species
GUGCCAGCCGCCGCGGUAAUACGUAGGGGGCGAGCGUUGUCCGGAAUUAUUGGGCGUAAAGCGCGCGUAGGCGGUCUGUUAAGUCCGAUGUGAAAACUCUCGGCUCAACUGGGAGAGGCCAUUGGAAACUGAUGGGCUAGAGUGCAGGAGAGGGAAGUGGAAUUCCUAGUGUAGCGGUGAAAUGCGCAGAUAUUAGGAAGAACACCAGUGGCGAAGGCGGCUUCCUGGACUGUUACUGACGCUGAGGUGC